GCGCAGCAGGCGCGAAACCUUCGCAAUGCGGGAAACCGCGACGAGGGGACUCCCAGUGCCUACGCUCAGCGUAGGCUGUUCCCGAGCCUAGAAAGCUCGGGGAGUAAGGGCUGGGUAAGACGGGUGCCAGCCGCCGCGGUAAUACCCGCAGCCCGAGUGGUGGCCACUAUUAUUGGGCCUAAAGCGUCCGUAGCCGGCCCGGUAAAUGCCUGGGUAAAUCGUGAGGCCUAACCUCACGAAUUCCGGGUAGACUGCCGGGCUAGGGACCGGAGGAGGGAGAGGGUACUCCGAGGGGUAGGGGUGAAAUCCUGUAAUCCCUGGAGGACCACCGGUGGCGAAGGCGCUCUCCUAGGACGGGUCCGACGGUGAGGGACGAAAGCCAGGGGAGCGAACCGGAUUAGAUACCCCCGUAGU
rnacentral:rRNA from 1 species